ACGGGGGGUGCAAGCGUUACUCGGAAUCACUGGGCGUAAAGAGCAUGUAGGCGGAUUAAUAAGUUUGAAGUGAAAUCCUAUAGCUUAACUAUAGAACUGCUUUUGAUACUGUUAAUCUUGAAUGUGGUAGAGGUAGAUAGAAUUUCUGGUGUAGCGGUGAAAUGCGUAGAGAUCUGAAGGAAUACCGGUGGCGAAGGCGGCCCACUGGACGAAGACUGACGCUCAGGUGCGAAAGCGUGGGGAGCAAACAG
rnacentral:rRNA from 1 species